CACGUAGGGCGCAAGCGUUGUCCGGAAUUAUUGGGCGUAAAGCGCUCGUAGGCGGUCUGUUGCGUCCGAUGUGAAAACUCGGGGCUUAACCCCGAGCCUGCAGUGGAUACGGGCAGACUAGAGGUAGGUAGGGGAGAAUGGAAUUCCCGGUGUAGCGGUGAAAUGCGCAGAUAUCGGGAGGAACACCGGUGGCGAAGGCGGUUCUCUGGUCCUUUCCUGACGCUGAGAAGCGAAAGCGUGGGGAGCGAACAGG
rnacentral:rRNA from 1 species